GGGCUCCAUUUGGCAGUUUUCAUCUGAGGUCUCUCAUACAGAGGCAAUCAGCCUAUGGCUGGGUUGAGGUUGUCUUAAGAACUUUUCAUUCAUGUUCAGUGCCUGGGCUGGGAGGAUUCAAACACCUGGGUGUUAGAACAGCUGGAGUUCCCUGGGCGGCUCUCUCUGCCUCUCAUCUCUCCAUGUGGUCUCUGCAUGUGCUGGCCUCAGGGCAGCCAGACUGCUCACGUGGUGACUGAAAGCUCAGAGCAGUUGUCCCGAGAGGGAGCAGGCGGAAACAGAAUCACCUUUUAGGACCUAACAUCACAAAUCACACUUUGGCCGUGCCCUACUAGCCAAGACUGUCACACAAGCCCAGGUUCAAGGGGAAGAAAUAUACAUGGCACCUCUUGAGGAGGAAUCAAUGAGGUUCUUAGAUAACAUGGGAAACAGUGUGGUCAAUUAUUUUUGCAAAAUACACUCCACCACCUAGACUUCUGUGGCACACUCUCACCUCCAAUGCACACACACACACACAACAAACAGAAUUCUUGCUUGAUAACGUAGUGAAAUACCAUGAGGCUAAUAGUGCAAAGUUUCCUGAAAUGCCUCCAAAAGCUCUCACAGUUGUGCUGUAGUUACUUUGUAAAUGACCAUGUUAGACAAAUAAAAUCGAGUUCAUAAAAAGAUGUCUUAGUGCCUUUAGCACAUCAAGAGGCAGAAAGAAUCUCAGAAGCCUCGUUGCUCAAAAUAGGGCUUAUGGACCAGGAGCAUCGCGUCAUUUGGGCGCUGGUUAGGAACGCGGACGCUCAGGCCCCACACGGACCUGCUGAGUUAGCAUCAUCCCCAGGUGAUCUGCAUGCACAUCAAGCAUUGUCUUAGAGGACUGUGCAGUAUGGAGUGUUCGCUAAACAAAUGUGUCUGUGGAGUCCUACCCUGGGCACUUCCUGGGAUUACUGGAAAUCCACUUUGGGAUCCCUGUGAUGUGAGUGUUCAUAGGGACCUGCAGCCGCCCCCACACCAUGCCCGCCUCUCUAAAUCGUCUGCCAAGAAAACUUGAUGGCUCAGAUCUCACGCCUGAGAGGAGUGAAAAAAAGCCUCCUGGCACCUAACCACCUGGCUCUCUAAACUCUUCUCACCCUCCCCACAGCCCACCGGGGCGUGGGAAGGUGGGCUCUUUUCAUAGCUUCCUUUCCUAUUUGGUUAGAAUUUCCCCUACACCAUCAUCUAAUUUAUACUUCAUUCUUCACUGCACCCUGGUGCCCAGGGCUAGUCACAUAGGAGGGAGUCCAUCAGAAUCUGUGCAAUGAAAGAAUAAGUGGGCUGGAUGCAGUGGCUCACACCAGUAAUCCCAACACUUUGGGAGGCCAAGGCAGGAAGAUUGCUUGAGGCUAGAAGUUCAAGACCAGCCUGGGCAACAUAGCAAGAAUCUACCUUUACAAUUUUUUUUUUUUAAACCAGCCAUGUAUGGUAGUGCAUGCCUGUAGUUCCAGCUACUCAGGAGGCUGAGGCAGGAGGAUUGCUUGAGCCCAGGAGAUCAAAGAUCUAGUGAGCCAUGAUCACACCACUGCACUCCAGCUUAGAUGACAAAGUAAGUCCCUGUCUCUAAGAAAAAAAAAAGUGGGGGUGAGUGUGGUGGCUCAUGCCUGUAAUCCCACUGCUUCGGGAGGUUGAGGCAAGAGGAUCGCUUGAGACCAGGAGUUCGAGACCAGCCUGUGCAGCAUGGCAAGACCCCAUAUGCACAGAAAUUGUUUUUAAAACAUUAGCCAGACAUGGUGGCACAUGCCUGUAAUCCUAGCUACUUGGGAGACUGAGGCAGAAGGAUCAUUUGAGCCCAGGAGGUGGAGGCUGCAGUGAGCUAUGAUCACACUACUGUACUUCAGCCUGGGAGACAGAGCAACACCCUGUCUCAAAAAAAAAAAAAAAAAAAAA
rnacentral:lncRNA from 1 species